GUUUGGAAUAUUGGGCAAGUCUCCAUUUUCUCAUCAACAAAAUUGUGUCACGGUCCUGUCGGUUUUCCGUGUGUCUGUGACGGUGUGGCCUUUAACGUGGGACCAGGCACCUUCUCCAAGAGCCACUACUGGGCCUUCGGGGUGUCCAGCCCCCUUCCAGGUACGUGGAUGGCGGGUCCCGGAGCCCUUACCGCGCCAUGUCAUCCGCUCCUGAGCUGCGGGUGCGGCCUGGAGGGUGGCACCUGCCGCCGGGCUUGGCUGGAGCAGGGUUUCCCGGUCUCCGAGGGUGGCUUGGGGGGCUCCGUUCACGCACUUUGGCAAGAGCGGAGGAGGGCGCGGCCCUUAGAAACGCCACCUGUGCCCUUCCUGCCCGAGAAGUGUCUCCCCGACGCCCGUUUGCAGACUCUGCCCUGGGCCGGGCUCCCCAGAGGAGCGCACCUGAGAGGGGACGUCGGGUCACCCACCCACCCCCGACCCUCCCGCCGCCCAAGCCAGAAAGGCGUCCACUCCCUGCUCGGGCGUUUGUGACAAGUGCGUUUAUUCGUGUUAGAAAUACAAACGUGGGAAUCCGAAUACAAAUACUGGGGGCGCGGCGGGGGCAGACGCACGAAGCGGGGCACGGGCCGCCCGUGUCGCCAAGGCACGUCGGGCGCAGGUGCACCCUCAUUUCACUGGGACGCCACGAGCCGCGCAGGGAGCGGGACACACCGGGGGACCCGUCGCGGGACCAGGACACCGGCCAAGUGGAUCAACUUGACCAGAAUGCACGAAUGACCACGGAGUCGCCCAGGGCGGCCCCGAGUCACAACAGCGAGCUCAGGGGCCCUGGGAAGGAGGAAGGCUCCUGCGGACGCCAGAGAGACUCCGGACCAGGUAGUGAAGCUGCAUUUUUUUUUUCUUUAAGGAAAAAACAUGAUCCCACUGUGUCAGGAAAUAUACAGAUGGCCACUUUCUUUCUCUCUGUCGCUUCUUUUUUAUCCUAA
ensembl:lncRNA